rnacentral:rRNA from 1 species
UUAAGCCAUGCAUGUCUAAGUCCUGGCUCUUUGACACGGCGAAACUGCGGAUGGCUCAUUAAAUCGUACGUGAUCGACGGGACCGCACAACGGCGAACUUGAGAGAGCCCGAAACCGUCAGGCCACGGUAAUCCGCUUCGCUAGACGUGGAUAACUGUGGCAAUUCUAGAGCUAAUACAUGCAACCGGAAGCUCCGACCCCAAGUGGCGUUUUUUUGCGUCGCGUGCGGGGAAGAGCGCUUUUAUUAGACCAAGACCAGCCGGUCCCGGCCAUCGGGGUCCCGUUCGCGGUGCGCCUUGUUGGUCGGCCGAGCCCUCGCUGGUGACUCUAGGUAACUUUGGGCUGAUCGCACGGCCUCUGGCCGGCGACGGGUCCCCUGAGCGUACGCCCUAUCAACCGACGAUGGUAGGCGCCCUGCCUACCAUGGUGAUAACGGGUAACGGGGAAUCUGGGUUCGAUUCCGGAGAGGGAGCAUGAGAAACGGCUACCACAUCCAAGGAAGGCAGCAGGCGCGCAAAUUACCCACUGCCGACACGGCGAGGUAGUGACGAGAAAUAACGAUACGGGACUCUCUCGAGGCCCCGUAAUUGGAAUGAGCACAUCCCAAACCCAUAGACGAGGAUCUAUUGGAGGGCAAGUCUGGUGCCAGCAGCCGCGGUAAUUCCAGCUCCAAUGGCGUAUAUUAAUGUUGUUGCAGUUAAAAAGCUCGUAGUUGGAUCUCGGGUCCGGGCUGGCGGUCCCGUUCGCGCGGGUACUGCCUGUUCCCGACCUCCCGGCCGGCACGUCCCUCGGUGCUCUUCAUUGAGUGCCUUGGGUGGCCGGCGCGUUUACUUUGAAAAAAUUAGAGUGUUCAAAGCAGGCCGUGGCGCCUGGAUAGUGUUGCAUGGAAUAAUGGAAUAGGACCUCGGACUCUAUUCUGCUGGUUUCUUCGGAUCGCGAGGUAAUGAUCGAUAGGGACGGCCGGGGGCAUCAGUAUUGCGGUGUUAGAGGUGAAAUUCUUGGAUCGCCGCAAGACUACCGGUAGCGAAAGCGUUUGCCAAGAAUGUUUUCGUUGAUCAAGAGCGAAAGUCGGAGG